AAAAUUUGGAUGACCUGCCUAGCGCCAUAAUUUAUACUUCAGUAGCUGGUCUUCAUCAAUGCAAUGGAAUCAUCCAUGAGUGGCUCCCAAGGAAAGAAGGUGUGGUUUACUGCCAGGUGCUCUUCAGAGCUGAGUCCCUCUAACAGCCGGCCUCCCUGUCUAAGGCGUGGCUGUGGCCUGAACUCUGCGGCUGAGCCUUUGCCUCCCAGGUUCCUGGACAUCCUCCACUCACUCCUCUGUUUGUGGGACCCUGCCUGGCCUGUCUGAUCCUCCUUGAGAUUUU
rnacentral:lncRNA from 1 species